rnacentral:rRNA from 1 species
AUUGAACGCUGGCGGCAUGCUUUACACAUGCAAGUCGAACGGUAACAGGCCUUCGGGCGCUGACGAGUGGCGAACGGGUGAGUAAUGCAUCGGAACGUGCCCAGUCGUGGGGGAUAACGCAGCGAAAGCUGCGCUAAUACCGCAUACGAUCUAUGGAUGAAAGCGGGGGACCGUAAGGCCUCGCGCGAUUGGAGCGGCCGAUGUCAGAUUAGGUAGUUGGUGGGGUAAAGGCUCACCAAGCCAACGAUCUGUAGCUGGUCUGAGAGGACGACCAGCCACACUGGGACUGAGACACGGCCCAGACUCCUACGGGAGGCAGCAGUGGGGAAUUUUGGACAAUGGGCGCAAGCCUGAUCCAGCAAUGCCGCGUGCAGGAAGAAGGCCUUCGGGUUGUAAACUGCUUUUGUACGGAACGAAACGGCCCUCUCUACUACCGGGGGCUAAUGACGGUACCGUAAGAAUAAGCACCGGCUAACUACGUGCCAGCAGCCGCGGUAAAAC